rnacentral:tRNA from 1 species
GCUAGCGUAGCUUAACUAAAGCAUAAUAGUGAAGAUUUUAAGACGGGCCUUAGAAAGACCCCGCAAGCA